rnacentral:rRNA from 1 species
GUGAGACGCGGCAGACGGCUCAGUAACACGUGGCUAACCUACCCUCAGGACGGGGACAAACCCGGGAAACUGGGGCUAAUACCCGAUAGGCGAGGGCGCCUGGAAUGGUUCUUCACCCAAAGGGCUUUGGAAGCAUGCUUUUCAAUGUCGCCUGGGGAUGGGGCCGCGUCCGAUCAGGUUGUUGGUGAGUAACGGCUCACCAAGCCUAUAACCGGUACGGGCCGUGAGAGCGGUAGCCCGGAGAUGGGCACUGAGACAAGGGCCCAGGCCUUACGAGGCGCAGCAGGCGCGAAACCUCCGCAAUACACGAAAGUGUGACGGGGUUACCCAAAGUGUUCAAUAUUGAACUGUGGCAGGUGAGUAAUGUUCCCUGCUACAAAGGAGAGGGCAAGGCUGGUGCCAGCCGCCGCGGUAAAACCAGCUCUUCAAGUGGUCGGGAUAAUUAUUGGGCUUAAAGUGUCCGUAGCCGGUUUAGUAAGUUCCUGGUAAAAUCGGGUAGCUUAACUAUCCGUAUGCUAGGAAUACUGCUAUACUAGAGGGCGGGAGAGGUCUGACGUACUACAGGGGUAGGGGUGAAAUCUUAUAAU